rnacentral:rRNA from 1 species
GGCCUAACCAUGCAAGUCGAACGAUAUAGUGGCAGACGGGUGAGUAACGCGUGGAAACGUGCCUUUCACUACGGAAUAGCUUUUGGAAACGAAAGGUAAUACCGUAUACGCCCUCCGGGGGAAAGAUUUAUCGGUGAAAGAUCGGUCCGCGUUAGAUUAGCUAGUUGGUGAGGUAAUGGCUCACCAAGGCUACGAUCUAUAGCUGGUCUGAGAGGAUGAUCAGCCACACUGGGACUGAGACACGGCCCAGACUCCUACGGGAGGCAGCAGUGGGGAAUAUUGCACAAUGGGCGCAAGCCUGAUGCAGCCAUGCCGCGUGAAUGAUGAAGGCCUUAGGGUUGUAAAAUUCUUUCGCCAGGGAUGAUAAUGACAGUACCUGGUAAAGAAGCCCCGGCUAACUUCGUGCCAGCAGCCGCGGUAAUACGAAGGGGGCUAGCGUUGUUCGGAAUUACUGGGCGUAAAGCGCACGUAGGCGGACUUUUAAGUCAGAUGUGAAAUCCCGAGGCUCAACCUCGGAACUGCAUUUGAAACUGGGAGUCUAGAGAUCAGGAGAGGUUAGCGGAAUACCGAGUGUAGAGGUGAAAUUCGUAGAUAUUC